GCGGUUGUGGUGGAAUUGGUAGACACGCACGCUUGAGGGGCGUGUGCUUAACAGCGUGGGAGUUCGAGUCUCCCCAACCGCA
rnacentral:tRNA from 1 species